AUUGAACGCUGGCGGCAGGCCUAACACAUGCAAGUCGACCGAGUGGCGGACGGGUGAGUAAUGUCUGGGAAACUGCCUGAUGGAGGGGGAUAACUACUGGAAACGGUAGCUAAUACCGCAUACCAUCAGAUGUGCCCAGAUGGGAUUAGCUUGUUGGUGGGGGAACGGCUAACCAAGGCGACGAGCCCUAGCUGGUCUGCGAGGAUGACCAGCCACAAUGAAACUGAGACACGGUCCAGAAUCCUACGGGAGGGAGCAGGGGGGAAUAAUGCACAAUGGGCGCAAGCCUGAUGCAGCCAGGGCGGGUGUAUGAAGAAGGCCUUCGGGUUGUAAAGUACUUUCAGCGGGGAGGCGUUACCCGCAGGAGAAGGACCGGCUAACUCCGUGCCAGCAGCCGCGGUAAUUC
rnacentral:rRNA from 1 species